GGUUGAGAGUUGAGAGUGGGAUGGAUUGUUGUUAUCGUAAUGUAAAUUGUAAAUUGUAAAUAGAUAACACGAUUUUUUUUUCGCGUUUCCUCGAUUUAACGAAUGCAUGCAUUACUACGGGAAAUUGGCAAACAUGGGAAAUGACAUAUGUUUAAGCUUAUAGCUGCCAUUUAGAAUUACUAGAAAUUAUAUUCCUUUUAUGAUGUAUAUAUAUAAAUAUUGCUUGAAUCCCGAGCACCAAACUUCCUACUCGUUGGUACAAAAACGAAUAAGCCAGAUCAAAUAUUGAAUAAGCAAGCCCUGAAAACGCAAGACAACAUGAUGUAUUACCGUACGUGUAUACUAAUACUAAUAUCCAACCUAUAUAGAAAGUCAUACUGGCAG
rnacentral:sRNA from 1 species